UACGAAGGGGGCGAGCGUUGUUCGGAUUUACUGGGCGUAAAGGGCGCGUAGGCGGCCUGUUAAGUCGAACGUGAAAUCCCCGGGCUCAACCCGGGAACUGCGUCCGAUACUGGCAGGCUUGAAUCCGGGAGAGGGAUGCGGAAUUCCAGGUGUAGCGGUGAAAUGCGUAGAUAUCGGGAGGAACACCAGUGGCGAAGGCGACUACCUGGCCUGUUCUUGACGCUGAGGCGCGAAAGCUAGGGGAGCAAACGGG
rnacentral:rRNA from 1 species